rnacentral:rRNA from 1 species
GCCUACGGGGCGCAGCAGUGGGGAAUAUUGCACAAUGGGGGAAACCCUGAUGCAGCGACGCCGCGUGAGUGAAGAAGUAUUUCGGAAUGUAAAGCUCUAUCAGCAGGGAAGAUAAUGACGGUACCUGACUAAGAAGCCCCGGCUAACUACGUGCCAGCAGCCGCGGUAAUACGUAGGGGGAAAGCGUUAUCCGGAUUUACUGGGUGUAAAGGGAGCGUAGGUGGCAGGGCAAGACAGAUGUGAAAACCCGGGGCUCAACUCCGGGAGUGAAUUUGAAACUGUCACGCUAGAGUGCAGGAGAGGUA